UUUGUUAGAGAUAUCACAUGACAAUUUAAGCUUUUUAUUCAACGAUUUGUUUCUAUUAUUGUAAUUUAGUCUGGUUAAUUUAUUAAUGUAAUUGUGUUUUAAUUCUGUCUCUGUAUUUCAAGUGUUGGAUCUAUUAACAUUCACUCUAUCUAAAAGGGUUGGUAAUCUAAUUUCGGUCGAUAGCUUUGCUUUUGUAAUUCAAAACAUUUAAGUGUUUUCAUUUUAGUUCAACUGGACCACGGUUUGGACCAUGAGCAGAUUCAAAAUUCAGGACUUAUGCUCUCACUCGACUAUUGAUUUUAAUAUUUGCUGGCGAAUGAUCCAGUUAAACUAAAAAUUAAACGACGAAUCACCUCUGCAUUGGUUCUAUAUUUUACACUUGUACAAGUACAGUCACGAUUGGUAAUUAGGAUGACAAAGGAACUCAAUGACUUGGGCAUUUAUCUUCACAUUUGAUGUCAAAAUUUCCAGAUGCCUUUGCCUACAAUUUUGUGUAUUUGUAUUGCAUAGGAUGGACCUGAUUGCAUCAAAUCUACGAUUUUAUCUAGUCAAAUGGAUAAUCUGUUAAAGCUCAAGAUGUUUGUCAAGCAGAUCAAUCUGAUGGUGCAUUUAUCCAGCAGUCAAUUUCAACUGUUUUACUGGUCGUUAUGGUUAAUGGCUUUCUUCUGUAUUGGCUUUUUAAUUGUCUCCAUUGGUCUUGUGCAUUGACAACAUGGUUAAUCAAAAUUAGUCAAUGAUUGACUCAAUAAUGUUGCCAUUUGUUUUCUUCCGAUCAUUUACAACAUUUCAAGUUGUGCAUAUCAACAAACCAGAUAGACUUACUGUUUUGCAGUAAUUUUAAUUAAACAUUUUUUACUUGGUGCGUGAUCGACAAUCAAAUGUUGUUAAGUCAAUAAUAACGAUGACCAGUUGUUGUUGCUGCUGUUUGCUGCUGUUGCUGUCGAACUUAAAAAGUUACAAUUAAUGAGCCUUUACAAUGGUUUCGACUUUUCCUGUUAUCAUCAUCACAAUCAAACCGCACUAAAAAAAUCAUUAACCUAACCAACCAUACCUUUUUUUUGCAACCUCAAAACAUAUUAUUUAAAAGUUAACAGUUAAUCACAAUAAUAAUAAAUAUGGUAAAACAAAACAAAAA